AAACAUCAAACUCCUGGAACUGAUACAGAGAAGUGUAUUUAAGUGAAACAGGUGAACAGCUCCCCCUACUGGGAGAGAAAAAAGGCUUUUUGUACAGUGUGUAUGAGUUUUGUGUCACUGUGGGCUCCAUGGCGCAGUAGUACAGUGCAGAGUCUGAUACUGCAGCAGGAAAGAUCUCCAGAUCUACUUUCUUUUCUUUUUUACGAAGUCUGAUGGAUAUUCUUGGGUCAAGUUGUUCAGCUCUAGUGACAUCAUCUGAGGAUUUAAAAAUCAGGAGCAAAAACUUUGGAUCUGAUUGAGGUUUUUGUUGAUACCAGUGGAGAUAAACAGCUGAGUCAUCAUAUGUGCAGAGUGACGUCGUGAUACAGUGACGUCUUUCGAUAUGAUACAGAUGCUAUUCGGGAGAGAGAAUCAAAAGAAGCUGAAAUGCUGAAGCUGAAACAGUUUUUGCUACAAAAUGACGGAUGUUUCCACAAGAUGUCGCUGUGUCACUUCAGGGCUCUGAACGUUACUGCAGUCGCUCCA